rnacentral:rRNA from 1 species
AUUGAACGCUGGCGGCAGGCUUAACACAUGCAAGUCGAGCGGUAACAGAGAGAAGCUUGCUUCUCUGCUGACGAGCGGCGGACGGGUGAGUAAUGCCUAAGAAUCUGCCUAGUAGUGGGGGAUAACUUGCCGAAAGGUAAGCUAAUACCGCAUACGUCCUACGGGAGAAAGGAGGGGACCUUCGGGCCUUUCGCUAUUAGAUGAGCCUAGGUCGGGUUAGUUAGUUGGUGAGGUAAUGGCUCACCAAGACCGCGAUCCGUAACUGGUCUGAGAGGAUGAUCAGUCACACUGGAACUGAGACACGGUCCAGACUCCUACGGGAGGCAGCAGUGGGGGAUAUUGGACAAUGGGGGGAACCCUGAUCCAGCCAUGCCGCGUGUGUGAAGAAGGUCUUAGGAUUGUAAAGCACUUUAAGUUGGGAGGAAGAGCAGUUAACUAAUAUUUGACUGUUUUGACGUUACCGACAGAAUAAGCACCGGCUAACUUCGUGCCAGCCGCCGCCGUAA